AGUGAACGCUGGCGGUAGGCCUAACACAUGCAAGUCGAACGGCAGCACAGUAAGAGCUUGCUCUUACGGGUGCCGAGUGGCGGACGGGUGAGGAAUACCUCGGAAUCUACUUUUUCGUGGGGGCUAAAGUAGGGACACUUACGCUAAUACCGCAUACGACCUACGGGUGAAAUCAGGGGAUCUUCGGACCUUGCGUGAUUGAAUGAGCCGAUGUCGGAUUAGCUAGUUGGCGGGGUAAAGGCCCACCAAGGCGACGAUCCGUAGCUGGUCUGAGAGGAUGAUCAGCCACACUGGAACUGAGACACGGUCCAGACUCCUACGGGAGGCAGCAGUGGGGAAUAUUGGACAAUGGGCGCAAGCCUGAUCCAGCCAUACCGCGUGUGUGAAGAAGGCCUUCGGGUUGUAAAGCCCUUUUGUUGGGAAAGAAAAGCAGUAGGUUAAUACCCCGCUGUUCUGACGGUACCCAAAGAAUAAGCACCGGCUAACUUCGUG
rnacentral:rRNA from 1 species